UAAGAUUUGAACUCAGGACCUCUAGACAACCAGUCAGUUCCCUUAACCAUUGAGCCAUCUCUCCAGCUUUGUGGCCCUCAUUCUUGAUGGCAAGUCUGUUCCUCACAGGCACUGCAGCCUACCUCCUGAGGAGGAUUCCAACCUGAAGACCAGCUGACACACCUUGCCAGUAGACUAAACAACUACUGGACUCUUAUUCUGUUGGUAGACAGUCAUUGUUGGACUAUCAGAAGCACAUCCUAUAAGUCACUCUAAUAACUCCUGUAUGUAUAUGAUAUGUUUACAUAUAUAAGUUCCACAUGUACUAUACAAAUUUAAUGAAAAAAUUCAUUCUAUCCAUGUGUUCCUCUAGAGAACCCUGUCACAGCAUUAAUGGUGGAAAGGCUGACAUACAGUGGUGACAUCGGCCAGCGACACUCUGCCCAUAGUGAAGACAACACCAGCACGGACACAGGGGUGCACAGCUUUCACCCCAGCACUUGGCAGGCAGAGGCAGGCAGCUCUCUGCCUGCUGUAGACAGAAGUUCAGAACAGCCAGGAGCUCAAAACCACAACAACAAACCACAGGAAGGAAAAAUCCGACAUGACAGGAAGAUCUGAAGAUUGACGCGCAUAUGCAGAGGGACAGUAACAGCGCAAAUUCUGAUCUGCCAGAACUCGCUGAAAAACAAGUGUAACUACAAAAUACAGAAGACUCUUAAUUCCCCUGCGUCUAAUUAUCCCAAGCUAGAGAUAAAGAAAUAAGCUAUGGAGGGAGGGAAAGCCUGUGUUUUCCCAGAAGUCCAUGUUUUUACCCAACUUUACCUAAUAUUUAUUUAAAACUUUGACUACUAAGUAUCAUGCUGUAAACUGGCUUUGUAGGGUUGUGUGCUUUUGUGUAUUAUGUAUGUGUGUAACGUUAUAUGUGCUGUGUUCAUGCAGUUACCUGUGGAGGCCAAGGCGGGGCAGAGAAUGCCCUGGAACUGGAGUUACCAGGCACUUGUGAGCCUCCAAAUUCGAGUGCUGGGAACCAAACUCAGGUCUUCUGCAAGAGGUCAUCAGCACUGAACCACUAAGCCCUCAUAGAAAGGCCUAAAGCACAGGCAUAUUACAUCACCCUCCCACGUACAGAUAAAGAAAACCCUGAGAUAGUCAAGACUCACCCCACUCACUGAACUCUGAACUGAGACGAAAUUAGAGCCAGACUGACAGGCUGCAGAAUCUACA
rnacentral:sRNA from 1 species